ACGUGACUAUUGAUUACGUAGCAGAGCGCAUGAGCAGAGGAGAGCGAACGUCCAUUGUAUUUGAUAAUUUGGCGCGUGUUGUCCGUAUAACUUUAUUCCAUUUUACAAAAAUUCUCUAACUUGUCCACUUGGUCUUAAAACUAAAAGGAAAUGAGCGGCGAAUUAGUAAUCAUAGCCGUAGACGGCAGCAAACAAGCAGAAGAGGCUUUUGAAUGGUACACCAAGCAUCUUCAUAAGGCUGGUAACAGGUUAAUCUUGGCCCAUAGCAUUGAAGCACCAUCUAUGCCUACAAGAGAGUCAUGGGAACAACAAACUCAAGCUGGACAAGUGAAAAGUAAGGAAUUGAAAGAAAAAUACGAUGAGAAAUUGCGUGCCUCAAACAUCGAUAAAUUCGAAUGGGAAGAAGAGGUAGAGAAACCAGGAGAAUUUCUCUGCGGACUAGCUAAGAAUAAGAGUGCUAGCUACGUAGUCAUGGGUAAAAUUAAUAAUUUUUAUCUUUAAUAUUCACUAUUACACACUCAUACUUGAUGUAACGUAACAAACAAAAAUUUAUAACAAAGCUCUACCAUCAGUUUUUGAGCUUUUAUAAAAAAUGUUUCCUCUUUUUUUUGUUACAAUUUGUAAAUCGAUUAAUACUGAUUUAUAUAUUAGCAUCUAUUUUAUUUUGUAGCAUCCUAAAUAGGCUUUUUACAUCAGUACCAACGAAAAAUGUUACUAAUGCUUCCUGAUAACUAAUUAAUGGAGGAAGAUGUCUAAUUUUUAUUUUAUCUUUCUAUCAUUAGUAAAUAGUAUUGCAUUAACAAUAUUACGUAGAAUAAUAAAAAAUCUAUCUAGUCAUUAGAUUUAACUUAUCAAAAAGAAGCUAUAGACCUUUUUUAUCAUUAUUAUUUUUUAUAUAUAUUUAUAUUUGAUUCUUCUCCGAUUCCUUAAUGAUUUUUGCUCCUUUGCUUUAUUUUUCAUUCCAUCCUGUUUUUACCAUUUUUCUUCUUUUAGAUUAUUUAUUUAUAACAUAAAAUCACCGGUAAAUAAUCAAGUAUUAACAGGAUGGCUAUCUAUGCUUGAAGACUGAAAAAAAAACAAAUCGCCGUAUGUUUCUACUCAAAAGAAUUAAUUGAAUAAAAUUCUUAGAGAUAUAGCCAGAUGAGGAAAUUAACUAUCCACGGUGCUUUUAAUUUAAAAUGUGUGAAGGAGGAAACAAAAACAUUAUAUAUAUAUACAGUAUAUAUAAAUAAAUAUACUAAUAUAUGUACAUACAUACCGUUUAUACACUAUAUCACGAUAUGCAUAGUCUACAUAUAGAGUAUUGUGUAAAAUUUGCUUCAAAGUAUAAUAUGUAGGCGCCAUCUGUAUUCGAUAUACUGUAUUUAACAUUAAUAAGACGAUUAUUUUUUCUUUGCACAGGUACUCGCGGCUUGGGUAAAUUACGUCGAACCAUUAUGGGUUCCGUUAGCGAUUACGUUGUCCAUCAUUGCUGCUGUCCUGUAUUGGUCUGCCGUCAGAAAUGAACUGAGGAAAAUUAAACAUUUCGUUCAAAUAUAAAAUUAUAAAGCAUGUAGUUGUUGUCAGUGACCUAAGAGUAAAAGCUAUACGCUAUUAGCACAUAGAUAACAAUUAAAUUUUUAAACAGGUAGAUGUGUCUAAUAUCUCUUCGUAUAAUAAUUCGCAUCGGCGCCCAGCAAACCAAAUGAUUAUUGUUUCGUAAUAACUUAAUGUACAACAGCAAAUUAAUAUUAACUAUGAACUAAUAAAUAAUUGUGUAUCUUAUAUCUUAUCUUUGAAGUUUCUUUCAUGUGAGCACAAUCUUUUAUAUAUUUCAAACUUGUAAAAUCGAAGAGUAAAGGGUUAAAAAUUGGUUAUUCCUGUUUCCAGUUUAAAAUUCCACGCUCGAAUAUGGAUUAAAACUAAUCCAAGGCUCUGUUACCGCAAAGCCCCCUUAGAGAAUAUCUUCACUGGUUACAUUUCCAGAAACUUUCUCUGUUUUAUAUAAUAUUUGAUGUUCUUAAACGUUUUUUGACAUUCGAGUCAUUAAGUAGAAGGAAUGUGGGACCAAAUUGAAGUAUAUAUUAUUUACUGUCAAUUUUAAGAUAACGAGUAACUAUGACAUGAAAAUUUAUAUUAAGUGAAAAGCAAGAGGAUGACUCGGCACCUUUGAAACUCUCGCAAAAGAGUGUAUUUAACAACGUCUUAUUAAGUGACAUUGACUUAUUACGUUUCAAUUUUUAAGCUAAUAUAGUUAUUACUAAUAUAUUCUAAUGACCUAAUUGUAUUCUAAGUUUUACACAAUUGAAACGCCCAUAUUUAUCAAAAAUAUAUGAAAUAUAUAGAUCAAAACCAAAUAAAGAAAAGAUAUUUUUAAUUUAAAGUACUUUAAUCUUUAUUAAUUUCAGCACGUGAACGAUCGUUUCAUAAAGGAGUGCUUAUCAAAUUUAAUUAAAUGCUCAUUUAACUAGCAGGUAUUGAGGAAAGCACUUUAAGUUUUUUUUAAAGUUUAACUACAAAAAGAUACUAAAAAGUAAUUAAAUCUACUUUUUUCAGUAUAUAUUUACGUAUUAAGCAGAAAAUUUCGUACUUUCUGCUCUGUAUUUAAAGAAUACAGUACGUUUUCUCUUUCUUUUACUGAAAGAAGACAUAACGUUUAAUAACGCAAAACUUUUACUUUGCGUCAUAUAAACUUUGAAUUUCAUAUCAUUCUUAGUUUUUCAUAACUGAAGUUAUAUUGUUCUUAACAGAAUGAAGGCCGUUAUCUGCUGUGUUGUUCUUGCUUUAUUCGUUGUUGCAGUUAACUGUACCACAAUGUCGCCAAAUGACACUAUUACGGGAAGUUCUCAAACUACAAGAAAUGCGAACCCCGGAAUAAGUGUUGGAUCAACUGCAGGGCAGGAAACUACCAUGAAACAAUCUGUACCAACAGCAAAAACAACUCCAAGUGCCGCAUCGAACUUGAUCUUCAAUGGUAUUGGUUUGAUAAUCGCAACGGUGUUUCUACGUUUGUUGUAGAGAAAAUAGAAAAAAAAAUCGACUUUAAGCUAGCAUAUCGCAUUGGUAUUUGUGUAUUGAAAAGGAAUUUCUUUCCGAAUGAAAAACCAAUUACUGGCAAAAUAUAUCGAAAACUAUAGUUGACUUAUUUUCUUUAGUACGAAACAUAAAUGAAUUAUAUUAUUUAAUAAAUAAACAUUGUCUAUAAGCUAAAA
rnacentral:misc_RNA from 1 species